UACGUAGGUGACCAGCGUUGUCCGGAAUUAUUGGGCGUAAAGAGCUCGUAGGCGGUUUGUCGCGUCUGCCGCGAAAGUCCGGGGCUCAACUCCGGAUCUGCGGUGGGUACGGGCAGACUAGAGUGAUGUAGGGGAGACUGGAAUUCCUGGUGUAGCGGUGAAAUGCGCAGAUAUCAGGAGGAACACCAAUAGCGAAGGCAGCUCGCUGGGACGGUACUGACGCUAAGGCGCGAAAGCGUGGGGAGCGAACAGG
rnacentral:rRNA from 1 species